GAUGAACGCUGGCGGCGUGCCUAACACAUGCAAGUCGAGCGGAAAAUUGGUGCUUGCAUCCAUUCUUAGCGGCGGACGGGUGAGUAACACGUGGGUAACCUGCCCUAAACAAAGGGAUAACAAUUAAAAAUCAUUGAUAUUACCGUAUAAGCUUACACUAUCGCAUGUUAGAGUAAGAAAAGAUUUAUCUGUUUAGGAGGGGCCCGGGUCUUCUUAGCUAGUGGGAGUGGUAACGGCUAACCAAGGCGAAGAGCAGUAGCAGACCUGAGAGGAGGAUCGGCCACAACGGGACCGAGACGCGGCAGAAACGACUACGGGAGGAAGCAGUGGGGAAUAAUGCAGAAUGGAGGAGACUCUGAUGAAGCAACGCCGCGUGAAGAAAGAAGGUUUUCGGAUCGUAAACUUCUAUCUAAAGGCAAGAAAAAAAUGACGGUACCUGAGGAAGAAGCCCCGGCUAACUACGUG
rnacentral:rRNA from 1 species